GUGUUGGAUGAAAGGGGAGAGGUUAGCACUCCCCUUGGCAAGGGUGGGGAGGCCCUUGGGCCCAACAGCACGCACACGGCUAAGGCAUUGCCACUAUUUCGUGGCAUCUAACCAUAAUUAAAU